AUUGAGGUGCUUUGAUGAGUUAUUUUUCGAAUUUUUUUAAGAAGAAAAACAUUAAGCACCCUAGCAAUUCUUUUUAGAGAUUGAAGAAGCCUAAUAUAUCAUAUGCUACAUAUACCGAUGAUAAUCCCAAAUUCAUUUUUCUUCCACUCAUGAAUAUUAAAUUCCUUUUUCUGAAUGCUAAGUUUUUUGUUGUUGGCAUCUCUUCCAAGAAGAAGUUUAAGUAAAAUCAUCCUCAUUAUAUAUAUAUAUGGCUUCAAAUCGACUCACAAAUAUCUCGAGAAGGAAUUGAUUGUGUUAGAUGGAUUGUUGAAAGAUCGUUCAGCUAUUUAGAGAGAUUUGUAUUAUUUUAUUUCUUCAAAAACCUAAAUUAUUAGACCUUGAAGCUUUUUGUGGUUUAAAGAAUUUGUUUUGCGGCAGUGUGGCUAUAUUUGUUUAUGGAUUAAUUUCUUCAUUCACCUCAGUAUUCUAGAGCCAAAUACAAUCUCAGAGUACAAAAACAAAACAAAAACAAAACUCAUCUUUUCUCCAACUCGCCACAACUACAAUGGUUGUUAGGCCUUCCGUAGCCAGGAUGCGGUAUCGAGUAAUAGACUUCCUCGACGUUUCCAACACCCUUAAGUUCACAACAAGUUAUGGAAAAGAUUGAAAGUGCAUAUAAAAUGUUGACCACCCCUUGAUCUACACCACCAAAUUGUGAGGAUAAUGGGGAUUCAUACCAUGUUAAGCAAUCUAUACAAGUUCCAACAACUGCUAAUCAGGUUGGUAUUCAGUACGCAAACUAUGAACAAGGAGUGUGGAAAUGCAAAUGUGGGAGUACUUUAUUUAGUCCUUGAUCACAAAAUUUGUCAAACCUAGAGAUAAAGAGAAGAGUCUCUUACUUUCUCUCUCUUUUUGUGAAAAGUUUGUGUUUUGGUUAUUAACACACAACUUUUAAUUUUACUUUUGGAUUUGGAUUUUUUCAGCAACUAUCCGUGAUUUUUUUCCAUUCCACAUGAGAUAAUAACAAAAUAAGUAAGUUUAAGGGUUGUGGUUAGUAUCUAUUCCACUAGAAAUAAAAAAUCUGUUGAUGGAAUUACUUAGGAAGUGAAGCUCAAAGAUAACACUGAAGUUCAUUGAGGGUUAUACACAUACUAACUAAAGGUGUGGAUUCAGCGCUAUCGUAGCUUUGUUCAUCCCCUUUAUCUUUUUAGCUCAUUUUAUUUAGAUUCUAUUUCCUGUAUUACUUGAUAUUUACUAGAAUAGUGUCCAAAUUUGUUAUCUCAAUCAACGGGAUUCUUAACCGAUGUACU